AUAUUGAUUUUAGUUUGUUUAUUAUUGAUUUUAUGAAUGAUUUAUUUAUUAUUCAGGUUAUCUAAGAAAUGUUUGUAGGAUUACAUUACAAUUUAGAUUAGAUUAGAUUAGUUUUUUAACACAAACAACAUUAGAUUAGAAAUAGGAAAAUGUUAGUAGGAUUAGAUUACAAUUUACAUUAGAUUAUAUUAGUUUUUUAACACAAACAUUAGAUUAGAAACAGGAAAAGUAGAACAAAAAUAAUAAAAUAUCCUUUUAUCAAAUAUAUUCAGAAUGUCACGCUCUCGUGCGUUGUCAUCACGUUGGACCAACGUGAAUGAGGAACUCGAACACCUUCUUGCGAAUAUGUCCAAUAAGAAUUAACAUAUAGUUACUUGAAUGUUAAUUUUGUUUUGUGUUUGAAUGCAUGUUAAUUGCUUAAAUGUUAAUCAUGUAAGAAUUAACAAUUGAAGAGCAUGGGGAAUGGAAGGAAUUGGAAAACAUGAUGCAGGAUGUCGUAGCUCCACCAGAGGCUUUAUUCUAGACCGUUAGUGCCAGGGACCAUGUCAUGUUCAUUUUGAUUUAAUUAACAUUUGAUUUUUCUGUUAUUUUGUGUAACUAACCAACCUUAUUUUGUGAUAUGACAUGUAGAUUUUCGGUGAAGUUGGUAAGGUAUAUGCUGUCAAGUGGAAGGACGUACUCGACAGUAUAUGGCAUUUGGUUGACAAAGACGAAAAUUAUCAUAACAUUGUGUACAACCAAGAUUUGAACCAACCAGUCAUUGUAGCAGGGUGGAUAACACUGCGCGAUUUUUACCAACUCACCGGUAAUCAUCUAGUAUCCUUGCAUCAUUAUGUGCUAGGUUCUGUGACCUUCAAGGUUUAUCUCACUGAGCAGAAAGUUUCCUGUAGUAGUCUGGACGUUCCAAGUGUCAUGCAUUAUUUUUUGAAAGACAAAGGUUGGACUCAUUUGCACUUGGAAGAUGUUGCAGAAUGUCGACUCGUGUUCAAUCAUUGGAGGAAGACACUAAAAAUUGAAGCCGGAUGGAAACAUUUCUGCAAGACCUUGUCGUUCACCACUGACAUGAAAAUAGUUUUCGAAUUCAUUGAUCCCGAUGUUAAUUGUGUGCUUUAUUGGUCGUGUGUAUGAAUUGCCUUAGGAUUGUGAACAUUUUUAUUACUUCGAACAAUUUUAUUAUUAUGCACAUUUUAAUUAACUGUGAACAAUUUAUUUAUAUAUUAGUUGUUUUAUAA